rnacentral:rRNA from 1 species
AUUGAACGCUGGCGGCAGGAUUAAUACAUGCAAGUCGAACGAGUGGCGGACGGGAGAGUAAUGCUUGGGAAUCUAGCUUAAGGAGGGGGAUAACUACGGGAAACUGUAGCUAAUAACGCGAAACACAGGAUGUGCCGAAGUGGGUUUAGGUAGUUGGUGAGGUAAUGGCUUCCCAAGGCGAGGAUCUAUAGCUGGUCUGAGAGGACGACCAGCCACACUGGGACUGAGACACGGCCCAGACUCCUAAGGUAGGCAGCAGUGGGGAAUUUUGCGCAAUGGGGGAAACCUGACGGAGCAAUGCCGCGUGAAUGAAGAAGGCCUUCGGGUUGUAAAGUUCUUUCGGUAGCGAGGCGUUAUCUACAGAUGAAGCACCGGCUAACUACGUGCCAGCAGCCGCGGUAAUAC